rnacentral:tRNA from 1 species
CGCGGGGUAGAGCAGUUGGUAGCUCGUCGGGCUCAUAACCCGGAGGUCGCAGGUUCGAGUCCUGUCUCCGCAA